GACGAACGCUGGCGGCGUGCUUAACACAUGCAAGUCGAACGAGACGAUUGAAAGCUUGCUUUUGAAAGUCGAGUGGCAAACGGGUGAGUAACGCGUAGGCAACCUGCCUCUAGGAUGGGGACAACAGUCCGAAAGGACUGCUAAUACCGAAUGUUGUAUCAAUUCGCAUGGAGUUGGUAUGAAAGAUGGCCUCUACUUGUAAGCUAUCACCUAGAGAUGGGCCUGCGUCUGAUUAGCUAGUUGUGGGCAACGGCCUACAAGGCGACGAUCAGUAAGCCGGUCUGAGAGGAUGAACGGCCACAUUGGAACUGAGACAGGUCCAGACUCCUACGGAGGCAGCAGUGGGGAAUCUU
rnacentral:rRNA from 1 species